UUUUUUUUUUGAAAUUACCAAAAUAUGAUAGCUUUCAUUUCCAUUUCAGUUCAUGACACUAGAUUAGUUACAACAUAGAACUCAGCCUUUACAAUCAGAAAGACCAAAUUUUUAUCCCUAAAAAAGGAAACCCUAACCUAAGAGCUAGUGAACUUCGUGACCGCCUUAGUACCCUCCGAAACGGCGUGCUUAGCAAGCUCUCCUGGCAAAACAAGUCUCACUGCAGUCUGGAUCUCCCUAGAAGUAAUGGUGGGCUUCUUGUUAUACCUAGCAAGCCGAGAGGAUUCCUGAGCAAGCUUCUCAAAGAUGUCGUUGAUGAAGCUGUUCAUAAUCCCCAUAGCCUUGCUGGAGAUCCCAAUAUCUGGGUGAACAUGUUUCAAGACCUUGAAGAUGUAGAUUUU
rnacentral:misc_RNA from 1 species